UACGAAGGGGGCUAGCGUUGUUCGGAAUUACUGGGCGUAAAGCGUGCGCAGGCGGCCUUCCAAGUCAGGGGUGAAAGCCCAGAGCUCAACUCUGGAAUUGCCUUUGAGACUGUGAGGCUUGAGUACGGGAGAGGUGAGUGGAAUUCCCAGUGUAGAGGUGAAAUUCGUAGAUAUCAGGAGGAACACCGGUGGUGUAGACGGCUCUCUGGACCGUAACUGACGCUGAGACACGAAAGCGUGGGUAGCAAACAGG
rnacentral:rRNA from 1 species